UACGUAGGGACCGAGCGUUGUCCGGAUUUAUUGGGCGUAAAGAGCUCGUAGGCGGCCGUCCACGUCGGGUGUGAAAGCUCGGGGCUCAACCCUGAGAGGCCAUUCGAUACGGGACGGCUUGAGGCAGCUAGGGGAGAUUGGAAUUCCUGGUGUAGCGGUGAAAUGCGCAGAUAUCAGGAGGAACACCGGUGGCGAAGGCGGAUCUCUGGGGCUGUUCUGACGCUGAGGAGCGAAAGCUGGGGGAGCGAACAGG
rnacentral:rRNA from 1 species